ACGGGAGGCAGCAGUGGGGAAUAUUGCACAAUGGGGGAAACCCUGAUGCAGCGACGCCGCGUGAGUGAAGAAGUUAUUCGUAAUGUAAAGCUCUCUCAGCAGGGAAGAAAAUGACGGUACCUGACUAAGAAGCCCCGGCUAACUACGUGCCAGCAGCCGCGGUAAUACGUAGGGGGCAAGCGUUAUCCGGAUUUACUGGGUGUAAAGGGAGCGCAGACGGCUUUGCAAGUCUGAUGUGAAAGGCAGGGGCUCAACUCCUGGACUGCAUUGGAAACUGUAGGGCUAGAGUGUAGGAGAGGUAAGCGGAAUUCCUAGUGUAGCGGUGAAAUGCGUAGAUAUUAGGAGGAACACCAGUGGCGAAGGCGGCUUACUGGACGAUAACUGACGUUGAGGCUCGAAAGCGCGGGGAGCAAACAGGAUUAGAUACCCUGGUA
rnacentral:rRNA from 1 species